CCGAAGCGCCUCUGAUGUGCAAAUCGAUUGUCGGAACUGGGUGUAGGGGUGAAAGACCAAUCGAGCUGUCUAGUAGCUGGUUCCCACCAAAGUUUGCCUCAGGAUAGCUGGCGCCAGCAGGAGAACGACACACAAUUCCGUCCGGUAAAGCAAACAACUGGAGGCCCCUGGGACGUUGACAGCUUCGAUCUACUCUUGAACUCAGAACGGGCAAAAUGGGCCGCUCAUCUCCCAAUCGGAGGCGGCUGUAUAUCACAGCCAUUAUGACACGACGAAUGCACGGUACCAAGUGGGCCACUUAUGAUAAGUAGACCUGGUGAUGUGGGAUGAACCGAACAUCCGGCUAAGGUGCCCUACGCUUCACACAUUAGAUCCCUGAAAGGGUUUCAGUUGAUAUAGACAGCAAGCCGGUGACCACAGAAGUCAGAAUCCGCUCAGGAGUGUAACAACUUACCUGCCGAAUCGACCAGCCUCCAAGAUAGAUGGUGCUGGAGCAAGCAACCGAUGACAGACUGGCCAGGUGACAAGUUGCGCAAUCGCCGGCGAGGCAACCUUCCGAUGCCCGAUCGAGUAGGAAGGCGCCGUGUAUUUUGAAAAAAAAAUUCUGGAGAAAAUAAAAAUAGGGUGGGGAA
rfam:Octopus bimaculoides Scaffold35517_contig_60, whole genome shotgun sequence.